rnacentral:lncRNA from 1 species
GAGAGAGAGAGAGAGCAAGAGGGAGAGGGAAUAAAAGAUGAAGGAAGGAAGGGAGAAAGGAAGGAGGGCAGGAAGGAGGAAGGAAGAGAUGAGUCGAGGGGAGGGGAGCCUUUCAUUCCAGGAACCUCAUUUCUCCUGUCUGCCAUAAACAUUCGCUGAGACCACGGAGCAUAUUGUUGGACCAUCUGCUUGAAUCAAGAGAAAGGAAAAACCGGGAGAAAAGACACAAACUACUCUCGGCAGUUGGAAAUAACAGAUCUGAAUUUAAAUCUAGGUUCUGCCCUUGCUGACUGAUUCAAGGCUUCCUGUGUAAAACAAGAAUAAUGAUGCCUACUUCACAAGGGAUGUUAAAAAAAAUGAUGAGCUAACUUCAAAGUAUCACGCAAAUGGUUCCUGCCAGUGGGAUCCUGGUUGGGAAGCGCGACUCCAUCCUCUGGGAAUCCGAAGGCGCGUUCGCUGGCUGGUUGUAUUGUGUUUGUCUGUCAUUGUGGGAAGAUUCCAAAAUGUGAUAUACCUAAGCCAACUAUACUAAAUAUUGACGUGUGCAGAGAAGAUAUAAGAAGAGAAACGGUGGGAAAAGGAGGAGAAUUUGGCUUCACAGAAGCAGUGAGCAUCGGCCUGGAGCCUAGUGACCUUGCCACAUGCCCUACUGCGGUGUUCAGAGAGCAGUUACGCUAGAGUUUCCGUAUGGACCAUUUAUCUGCAGAUUUGUAAUGUAAAUGCACAAAAGGCAUUUAAAUCUCAUAAAUAUCAUCUGUUUGGUAUAAAAUAAAUUAUUUCAUUCUUUCUCUAAUAGUUUCAAAAAAUAGAAGACUGUUGGAUAUAAAAUAUUAAUCUCAUUUUUAUUCCAUGCAUU